CCUGUAAAAUCUAUGUGUGAACACAAAAAUUUUUGCAAAUAAGGCUAAAGAAAGCUUUGUGUGAACAUGGCCUUUAAGUUAUAUAAAAUUUCCAGUCAAUUUAAUCAAUAUCCAGGUAUAGGAGGACAGCAUUGGAAUGUGUAGAACAUAAGGAUAUAUAUGGCUUUUCUUAACAUUGAUUAUAUAAUGUUGUAAGGCUGAGUUCACAUAUUUAUGUUGCAUUGGGAUCAGCUUUUUGUUAAAAAAAAAAAUCUGCAUUUUACUUCCACAUUGGAGGGAAACUGAACCACAUCACUGAACAAGUGGGAAGGAAGCCUAAAAAAAAGUAGGUCGUGUCCUGGCUAUACAGAUCUUGGAUUGGUAUAGAAUGCGAUGUGCACAUCACAGGAUAGUAAAACGUACCCACCUCUUCCUCAUACAGUCUGAUGCCCUUACCUUCCGGCCUUGGUGAUGAUCAUCUCUGUGCCUACUUCAUGAAACUUCAUCCAUAACUCCCGUUCAUGCAGGAAGACCUUGAUGCCUUCCAUUCCCUGGGCACAGAGUAUAACAAGGAACCAGCUCCUUACCUGCUGAGUAAAGGCUGCUUGUGGGGAGGUUGGGGUCUUGCUGCUGGCCCCUAGCUGGCUAUCCUGCUUAGGAUCACACUGCAACUCCUUGGGGUCUGGUUCCACUGGAGUAUCGGGCAUCCCAUAUCCCUCAUCUGUGUCCGCCAUAUUGCACAGGGACCCUGCACUCCAAGCAAAUCUGACAGUACUAGCAAGAAGCCUGUGACCAGAUAACAUUCCUUCAGAAGACCAAAGAACUUAACACUGUCUGCAGAAAGCGGAAAUGAAGUUGCAAAUAAAAAAUAUAUAUAUUAUUUGUGCAGGAAAAAAGAUACACACGCAUUUCAAUAUAAAUAUCUAAAUAUUGCCAUCCUUGAUAUAAGCAUCUUCUAUACCACACACUUUAUAUUGUCGUUUUCUUUAAUCACAUCAUCAGGACUACCGUGAAAUCAUUUCACUCCAGGGAUGUGCAUUGUCACGAAAGUUACAUCAUUUUUCCUCUUUACAAUUCUACGCUCAUUUUAAGCACCUAGAGGAAUGUGGUAAAUGUUGUAGUAAAUGUUCUAUUUCUU